CUUCUCCAACCAUUGGUACGCGACGGUGGUUCGGUCCGGGAGGUGGCUCCUGCAAUCCUGGCGUCGCCGCAGCAGUGGUUCCAUUCCGGCGGCAUCAGGGGAGCACACAACGUCCACGAGCAGCAAGCAGAGCCGGCCAAUCGGCCAAUGAUGCAGCAGCGCUGGCCAUGAGGAGACGCCUGCCGUGGCGGACGCGGAGACAACAACCAUGGGCGUGGAAGACGGUUUUGGAUCCUGUGAGCCGCCGCCGCUGCCUCGUCGUCAAGCAACGUGGGCCUUCUGCUGCUCCAUGUCCAACAAGUCGCCCACGAGGCGUCAGUGUGGCAUUGCUAGAUCCAGCUUCCCCCUGCAAUCGUCUCUGCCGCCAGCACUUGCACGAAAUCGUGCUGGUUUCUGUAGUUCAAGAUCAAAGGCAAGAAUCAGCCAAAUAUGAUGAUGAGAACAAGGCUAAUGAUGGAGAACUUUCAUCUAUCGAAGCUGAGCAGUCUAUUGGGAUACUAAGUUUCAAUGCGCAUCCUAAGUUUCAGUUACCUGAAAUCAAGGCCAGUUUCAGUCGAUGCCGAAGUAAACUACCACAUGUAAGUUUAGGGACACACAUUAGUUUCCUGCUAGGGAUUUAAUGGUUGCCGAACUUUAUGCACAUAUGGCGUAGUAGAGAUGCAUGCUUCGUUAUCCUGCAGUUAUCUGAAUUUUUUCUGACCUGCACUCUUCUUGCCUUUAGUUCUGUUCUUAACAGAAUUAUUACUUACUGACAGACGAAUACUUGUUUUCCUUCAUCAUCUGCAUUUCAAAUGACUCAUUAUGCAUCAGGCUAGCUAGGCAAUAUGAAAUUUUACUUCUUGGCUAUAGUCACCGAGCACUGCAAUUUGAAAUUACAGCCACGAAUUUUGGAUUAGUCGAAAGGGCAUUCUUAAUCUGAUACAGUCAACCGAGCACUGCAAUUUUCAAAACAAGAAGCGGCUGCUACCAUAUUAUUUAUGUUUACAAUCAACAAACUACAUCCUGACAUUCCUUCUUAUUUUUGUUUGCAUUCAAACGUGAUGAACUUGAGAAAAUCCAUGCACUUCAAUUGGACAGGAGUUUUCUGCCACGUAAUCGAUGAUGCACUUCACAUGACAGAAUUGUUUGUUAAAGGAACUUUUUGGCAAGAAAUACACAACCGUGUCAUUCAGUGUUGGACCUAUGUUAUUGGCAAGAAAUACACUAAUGUGUAGCUCACUGCUGAGGUCAGCAAGAGGGGGUACAUGCACAUCUGACACCUUUUUCUCUUCCGGCGCCUUGCUAUUUGCAUUUCCCAUUCGUACCUAUCAUUUUUCAACAGCAUUAGUAUUGAUGUGGUAUGUAUACUGAACAAUUGGCUUGCCAUGUAUUUUUGGUGUUCCAACUUGGAACAUGGGGAAGAAAUGACUACAUUGUAUACAUCUGAUAAACAUUUAUUGUCUUGGGAUGUAUUUUUGGUGUUCGAACUGGGAACAUGGGGCACAUUUAUUCGUAUGGAUCCAUCUGGUGGCUCCAUCGUAUAUGGCUCUGUUGCAUAUGGCUCCAUCUGGUGACAAUUGUCUUCUGUACCAUCGCGUGAUCUUUAAGAGAGCAUGAGCGUACAUACCUUUAAGAAAGCAAGGUUUAUAACUGAUCAGUGAAGACGCCCUGCACUGCUUGCCGCUGUAGGCGUCGUCGUCGGAGAUUGGCGUGUGGCUGCCCGAGGCGGCGGCGGCGGUGUCUUGCUGAUCCGCGACGAGAUCGUGGUGUGUGGGUACCUGAGGCGCCGGCGGCGGGCUGCUGAUCCGCGGCGGUUUUGUUCGUGAUCCGUCACGGGCGACGUAUGUGAGGCGGCAGCCGCGGCGGCGUUCUCCUGAUCCAGAUCCAGGACGGACGUGGGAAACAAGGAGCGGAUCGGGUCCUCGUUCCGUAUAGGAGCGUCGAUCUAGUUUUUUGUCGAUACGUAGAUUAAAAUCAGUUGUAUGGGGUGGUGGGAGGUGGGAGGAGAUAAAACCGGAGUACCAGGCUACC
rnacentral:rRNA from 1 species